UACGUAGGGGGCUAGCGUUGUCCGGAAUCAUUGGGCGUAAAGAGCGUGUAGGCGGCCCGGUAAGUCCGCUGUGAAAGUCGGGGGCUCAACCCUGGAAAGCGGGUGGAUACUGCCGGGCUAGAAUCCGGAAGAGGCGAGUGGAAUUCCUGGUGUAGCGGUGGAAUGCGCAGAUAUCAGGAGGAACACCAAUAGCGAAGGCAGCUCGCUGGGACGGUAUUGACGCUGAGGUGCGAAAGCGUGGGGAGCAAACAGG
rnacentral:rRNA from 1 species